rnacentral:tRNA from 1 species
GGAGAGGUGGCUGAGUGGCUGAAAGCGACGGUUUGCUAAACCGUUGUACCGGUUCAGACCGGUACCGCGGGUUCGAAUCCCGCCCUCUCCG